AACGCGAAGAACCUUACCAGCUCUUGACAUGGUGAUCAUACCCUUCGUAAUGGAAGGGGUCGGUUCGGCCGGAUCACACACAGGUGCUGCAUGGCUGUCGUCAGUUCGUGUCGUGAGAUGUUGGGUUAAGUCCCGCAACGAACGCAACCCUUAUCGUUAGUUGCUAACAUUUUAGGUGAGAACUUUAACGAUACUGCCGGUGAUAAACCGGAGGAAGGUGGGGACGACGUCAAGUCAUCAUGGCCCUUAUGGGCUGGGCUACACACGUACUACAAUGGUGGUUACAGAAGGCAGCGAAGGGGCAACCUGGAGCGAAUCCCAAAAAGCCACCUCAGUUCGGAUUGUUCUCUGCAACUCGAGAGCAUGAAGUCGGAAUCGCUAGUAAUCGCAGAUCAGCGUGCUGCGGUGAAUACGUUCCCGGGCCUUGUACACACCGCUGUA
rnacentral:rRNA from 1 species